rnacentral:rRNA from 1 species
AUUGAACGCUGGCGGCAGGCCUAACACAUGCAAGUCGAACGAGUGGCGGACGGGUGAGUAAUGUCUGGGAAACUGCCUGAUGGAGGGGGAUAACUACUGGAAACGGUAGCUAAUACCGCAUACCAUCAGAUGUGCCCAGAUGGGAUUAGCUAGUAGGUGGGGUAACGGCUCACCUAGGCGACGAUCCCUAGCUGGGCUGAGAGGAUGACCAGACACAGGUGAAUGGAUACACUGCCCAGACUCCUACGGGAGGCAGCAGUGGGGAAUAUUGCACAAUGGGCGCAAGCCUGAGGCAGCCAUGCCGCGUGUAUGAAGAAGGCCUUCGGGUUGUAAAGUACUUUCAGUGGGGAGGCGUUACCCGCAGAAGAAGCACCGGCUAACUCCGUGCCAGCAGCCGCGGUAAUUC